ACGUUUUACCAACAAAAUAGUAUCUUCAAACCAGUGGAACCAACGCUACAAAAUUAAACUUAAUCGCGGUCAAAAGAUUUAGAGAGUCUCUUAAUGAGGAACUUAAAUAUGUCCCCAACCUAGGAUAUUCAUUUAAAGUGAGUUAUAUCAGAAGCUAGCAGUAGUAGAAUACAAAACUACAAACAAAUUUUCAACUUGCAAUGGUGCAUAGAAGGGGUAAGAUGGAAUCCUAUGGGGAAGGUAAUUUAGAAGUAAAUCUGUUGAAAAAUUAUCCAAGUCGUCGUAACUUAGAAUGUUAUAUAAUUCAAUUCUACAAAGACAAUCAAGAAAUAAAAGUUCAAGACAAACUAGCUACACCACAAUCAUUUUGUAUAAAUUUCGGUGAGUAAUAUCAUGGAUAACCAAAUAAAAUAAAAUGUUAUAAAUAUUAAAAUACACAAUAUUAUACUAUGUAUUUAUGUAUAAUAAAUUUCUUAAACUGAUGUUAUUGUAUUGGAGAUAUAAUAUGUAAAUAACUUACCUUAA